rnacentral:rRNA from 1 species
CCUACGGGAGGCUGCAGUGAGGAAUAUUGGUCAAUGGCCGGGAGGCUGAACCAGCCAAGUCGCGUGAGGGAAGACGGCCCUACGGGUUGUAAACCUCUUUUGUCAGGGAGCAAGGUGCAGGUCGGGACCUGCUGUGCGAGUACCUUAAGAACAAGCAUCGGCUAACUCCGUGCCAGCAGCCGCGGUAAUACGGAGGCUGCGAGGGUUAUCCGGAUUUAUUGGGUUAAAAGGGUGCGCAGGCGGAGGCACAAGACAGCGGUAAAAUCUCGGGGCUCAACCCCGCUCCGACGUUGAAACUGUGGCCCUUGAGUGCGCGAAGGGUAGGCGGAAUGCGUGGUGUAGCGGUGAAAUGCAUAGAUAUCACGCAGAACUCCGAUCGCGAAGGCAGCCUACCGGAGCGCAACUGACGCUCAUGCACGAAAGCGUGGGUAUCGAACAGGAUUAGAUACCCCUGUAGUC